CAUUCACAGUUGGCCAGAUUCUCUUUGCUUCCAGGUUCUCUGGUUUUAGCUGAUUUUGUCAUCGACUUUAUCAGCUAGUACACUGAAUAGCAGUCUUAGCAUCAACUCAAAAGCAGAAUUUCUGAGGUUUCUUUUUCUCCCUCCUGGCUCUGCAGUUGAAUCAUAAUGUGACUUUUCGUGCUCCUGGUUCCCUGUCUGCGAAUUAGGGGAGUAUUUUAGGUAUGUUCUUUGAGCUUAGAGACCUAAGGACACUGAGGCUGUGUGGUGUUCUUCAGACUUUGGAAGGUGUUCUUCGUGCUCCCAGGAAGUAACCGCAGCUCCUAGGG
rnacentral:lncRNA from 1 species